GGCAGCUGUCAGAGGCGGCGGCGGCGGCCGGUCCCGCAGGCAGGCGGCUGGGGCGGCCGCGGGAUGCGGCGCUGAGGGCGCACCGCACCGGCGGUCAUUCCGCGCGGGCUCCUGCGCGCCGCGGUUGCCUCCCGCAGCCCAUGAUGUGCCUGGAAAGCGACGGCUCCUCCGGCAGCAGCCCGGGCUGCGGCGGGCGGCUCCGAGCCGGCGACGAGGAGGAGGAGGAGGACGGCGAGAGGGGCUGCUGCGGCCGGGGCGCUGAGGGCGAGGUGCAGACCCUGUCGGGCAGGAUGAACCCGCCGGCGGCCGGCAAGCACCCCGAGCGCCCGGCCGUCCGCCACAAGGCGCCGAGCCUCGGCCGGGCCCGGGUGGCGGCCGCGGGCAUCCUCAGCGUGGGCAACGUGCUCAACUACCUGGACCGGUACACGGUGGCAGGUGUGUUACUAGACAUCCAGCAGCACUUUGGAGUCAAAGACAGUGGGGCUGGCUUAUUACAGACAGUUUUCAUCUGCAGUUUCAUGGUUGCGGCGCCUAUCUUUGGUUACCUUGGUGACCGUUUCAACAGAAAGAUCAUUCUCAGCUGUGGGAUCUUCUUUUGGUCAGCUGUCACUUUUUCAAGCUCCUUCAUCACGGAACAGUAUUUCUGGCUGCUUGUGCUCUCGCGAGGUUUGGUUGGCAUCGGUGAAGCAAGUUACUCCACUAUUGCACCAACCAUCAUAGGAGACCUUUUCACCAAAAACACAAGGACCCUUAUGCUGUCUGUUUUCUACUUCGCAAUUCCUCUUGGCAGUGGCUUGGGAUACAUCACGGGGUCAAGUGUGAAGCAGGUUGCUGGAGACUGGCACUGGGCGCUGCGGGUAUCUCCACUCCUGGGAAUGAUAACAGGGACGCUCAUCUUAAUAUUUGUACCUGCUGCUAAAAGAGGAAAUGUAGAACAACUUGGGGGACAGCUGAAGGCUCGGACCUCGUGGCUAAGAGACAUGAAAGCACUGAUUAGAAACCGCAGCUACGUGUUCUCUUCGUUGGCCACCUCAGCUGUCUCCUUUGCCACAGGGGCUCUUGGCAUGUGGAUCCCUCUCUACCUUCACAGAGCACAGGUUGUACAGAAGACAGCAGAGACCUGCAGCUCACAGCCCUGCAGCACCAAAGAUAGCUUGAUCUUCGGAGCAAUCACAUGCUUCACUGGUUUCCUGGGUGUAAUCACAGGGGCUGGGGCAACCAAAUGGUGCCGGUUAAAAACCCAGCGAGCUGAUCCUCUUGUCUGUGCUGUUGGCAUGCUAGGAUCAGCUAUCUUCAUCUGUCUGAUCUUCGUUGCUGCCAAGAGCAGCAUUGUGGGAGCCUAUAUUUGCAUUUUUAUCGGAGAAACUCUUCUGUUUUCAAACUGGGCUAUCACAGCAGACAUACUAAUGUAUGUGGUCAUUCCAACACGCCGUGCAACCGCAGUGGCCUUGCAGAGUUUCACUUCACACCUCCUGGGAGAUGCUGGCAGUCCUUAUCUGAUUGGAUUUAUCUCAGACCUGAUACGACAAAGCACAAAGGAGUCCCCAGUCUGGGAGUUCCUCAGCUUGGGGUAUGCACUCAUGCUCUGCCCGUUUGUCAUUGUCCUAGGAGGGAUGUUUUUCCUGGCCACAGCACUCUUCUUCCUAAGCGACCGAGCCAAAGCUGAACAACAUAAAGAAACCGAUUCGGACCACCUCACGGUUGGCAACUACAGUAAUUCAGAAGACGCUUCCACAUGACAUACAAACUUCUGGGGGUGAAUCAACUUGUGAUGCCACCAGCCUCUGUGAAAGUUUGAGACGUUGCCAGUGAAGGAAAUGACAUGCGGACUCCUGCUCCCCCCACCACCACACCAAUCUCAAGCUCGAAGCCCUUCCAUACUGGAAACCAGUGGAUCCUUCAGCUCCACACCACCCUGGAAGGGUUAUCCCGCACCAAAUCGAUCCCACCGCUCCAGCCUGCAGGGUCAGGCACCAGGAGAUGAGCAGGGCAGCCUGGAACACAAGUAAUUCUUAAGCAUAAGGACAUUCACAGGUUCCUCUGAGCAUCGAAAGCAACUGUCCGCUGGACCCACAAUGUGCUACCCAAGUGAGUGACUGUAGAUUGUGUAUAUGGUUUUAGUUGUAGCCAAUGAAGUCUGCAUUGUUUAUAGGGCAACUUACGUCCUAUUGAAUGCUGCUGUUCUGUCAGCACUCCCACACCCAGAGACUGCACUAGUUGGGGACAUAUUCUGUACAUCACCUUUUCUUUAACACUGAAGGCUCAAUUCAGAUUAUUAUUUUUUAUUUAACUAUGUCAUAAGAUGCUUUAUUUCUGCUGAAGACAUUAGAUGACAGAUAUAUAUACAUAUAUAUAUAUAUUUAGAUAAACAGUUUUUAUUUAAACAUUUAAAAUCUGGAGCUGCCUGUGCAACCAUACCAGACAUGAAUAACGUCCACAACUUUCCUCAUCUCAGUGCCCGGGUAUCAGGCCCUGCACGGGCCCCGUAGGAAGAUUUCCAGUGGGUGACUACCUGUCACCCAAGGCUGGGCAAUGGGUUGGAGGAGAGAGUUUCACUGCACUGGGUAUGCUGGUGGUUGUUACAGAAAGGCCCAGAAGAACUUUGGACAGAAACACCUAGGGGCUCUAGAGUUUGGUCAAUAUACUAAAUUCAACCUUGCUUAGGAGGUUCACAGGUUUUUAAAGUACCAAAAUCCAUCUGGCUGAAUAGCUUUACCUAGGGCCUGGUAGUGCAAUACUGCUGUGCCAGUGACAUCAUGCUUUGUUUACAUGCAUGUCAUAUUACACGUAUUGUCAAUGCUAAUUCUCCCCGUCGGUAUUUUCAAAGCAGGUGGCUGAUACUCUGCUGUAGCUGUUUCUUUGGAACAAUGCUUAGGUUUAAUGCUUGCCCGACCCCGCACACAGUCCCAGACUAUUCUUCCUGGGGUGUCAGUUGGUCACUUUUAUCUUUAUGAAGAUGCAUUUGAGGUCUUUAAUACACAAGGCCAGUGUCUGAACUGUGUUAGUCUCAAACGCAGAAGCGUGUGUCUGUAAAGCAGUCGGAGUGCCAUUUCGUGAGAGGCUUGUGUUUCCUGCACCUGGCCUCCACAAGCCAAAUUCAUGCUAGGUCAGCUUGAUGCUGCAACGGUGUGGGGAAGGCAGGCGAGCAGAGUCAGGCUUCCAGAGAAAGGGCAUUGGUUCAGUGAACUCCCCGCUCCCUUUUUUCCUGUUUGGAUGUCUCCCACAGGUUAGAUACUCCCCUCCAGUUUAGCACACACCUCAAGCAGGUGAAUGCACCUCACUCUUGUGCUCACAUUUAACAAGUGGCUGUGGUUGGGCUGCAGGUAGGACUAAAUCAGCAAAGGAAAUGCCAAACCGGGACUGGAUACGAGUUAAGUCUGGCAGCUGGCUGUCCUGAUUGUGGCACAGGUUUGUUCAGAGACACAGGAAAGUACUGUUAGUAAAUCUGGGGUUUAUCUCCCCUUCACUGCCAAGAUGUGCUAGGACCUACAGUACCACACUGUAGUAGAGAUGGUCAGUAAUUCCAGUUACCAGCGAACUGGUUGAUACCCACCACAUAGCCGGUCUCUGCUCAGGCAGGUGGGGUCGGAGGGUGACUCCUUUAACACCAUGAGCCUUUCCUCCCCCUCAGGCUCCACAGGACUCUUCUGCAAAGGUUGCUCUGUCACCUAAAAUACCUUAACAAUAGCUUUAAGAUUUGGCUAAACAACUAGAGCCAGAAAUUUUCCUUGAGUGCCUGGGCAUCCUCUCGAGAACAGCAAGCAGGUGCUAGAAAUAAUAAAGCAAAGCAAAUCCAAAACAAUGCUUCAUUUCCCACCUCGUGCCACUAUCUACAUUCGUAGGGGAAAUACUGCCUCUGUAGUCUAGGAGCCAAACACUUGGCUUUAAAGACACAUGAAUUUCUGAUUCCCGUUAAGAAAUUCCUUGUUAAGCUGUUUAAAAUGGAACCCAACAAUCAGUCAUUUCAUCUCAGAGACCAAAGAAGAUUAGCCACAUUUCCUAAAUUGCUUUUCUGAUAGGCUCUCUCUGUUGUAGCAUUUACUGUCAACAAAAUGAAGUAUUCCUGCUAAAGUUCAGAGAUUAGGAAUUGUCCUUAAACUUAAUUCUCAGGAGUCACAAUGAAAAGGGAAGUUGAGUGUUUUGUAAUUUCAGUAGCCCUCCUUGUUGGUGACAAGCCCCGGCCCUUGUUAGAGAAGCACAGUGCUGUUACAGGCCAGCUUUAUCUUCUGUGCAUAUGAAGGAAAUUGCUGUGGCUUUCUUUUUAACAAAGGAAGAGGGAAGGGAGCAAGCAAGGGAGUGAGAAGCAAGUCCUACCUGCAGCAGUUCCACACCACGGGAUCCCUGAAUCCCAGCUCCCACAUGUUCCAGGCUAAGGGGGGGAAGCCGAAGCAGCAGCUCUAACAGCUCAGAGGAGGUGAACAGAAGGGAAAGGAAACUCAGCCCUUCUAGACGUCUAGACUGAAUGCGUAUUACUUCUAUCCAAGCUGAGCAACAACCCUCAUUAAAAUGAGUAUUUCUGUUUUUAUAAAGAAAGGCUGUUCAUAGGAAAAGAUAAUUAAUUUUUUAUAAUGAAUCCAUGUAUUUUAGUAUCCAUCACACUGAAUGAAGCAAGAUUCCAGCCCAUCACUUAAGUAGUUGUUCAGGUGAUCAAGGUUAGCUUUGGGGUUCUAAGCUUCAACACAAAAUUAAAUAGUCCCAAUAAGGACAGAAAUACCUUUAAAGCCAUUGAUCACGUGCACAGAAAAUCACUUCGUGUGAAUGUCUGAAAACUAGAGUACACAACCAGGAGCUCUUGAAGGCAUUUGAAAAGCCUUGGGAAAACGCUACCAAAAGGCAGCGAGCACUACUCACACCCUCUCAUCCCAGCACGUACACAUCUCCUCAGGACAGGGAGCCAUGUGAGGGGAAAGGUGUUGGGGUUCUCAGCGGGUGCUGCUGUGUCUUGCCCCCACUCCCUGGUACCUGCUGCUCACCCUGUUCCUCAGGGCUGCGACCGGUCCUUCCCUGUGCUCUGCCCCUGUUCCCCACCUCUGCCCGAGGGUCUGCCCUCUCCGAUGGUUUGCCUCAAGGCGCCGGCUCCUUCCGAUCUCCCGGUGUUCUGUGUGGGACCUACACCAUUAGAUGCAGCCUCGCUGCAUUCAUCAGGGUCUGUGCAGGGUGUCCAGAUUGUCCCUCAGGGCUUUCUUCUGCUCCUCUUCAUAAAUGGUUGGCUUUUUUUAAGCAGCCAUUAACCCCCUCCACAGCUAACACUGCAUUUGCACCGACACACGCACUACAGGAGCAAUUAGGUGGCUUGUACACAGCAAGAGAAGCAGAGGUAAUGGGAACUGCAGAGAGAGGCAAGAAAAUGACCCAAAAAAAAGCAGCACGCUGCCACCCAAAUAACUACAAUGCCUCCUGCUGCCAUCGCUCCGAGAGCUAGAAUCUGGGUGAACCCAAGGGCCUCUCCCCUUUUACAGACUAGCUGAGAGAGACCCUCAGGGUGACUAAACCCUGUGAAUGAAUGGCUGUACUCUGGAAAGCAGAGUUCCCCUCUGCACCCUCCGUCCUAAUUGUUUGUUUUCUUCUCCAUUUGCUUUAUUGUUUGGUAAACCAGCACUUACAAUCACUUUUACUAUGUGAUGUACGGGAGUAUAUAGUAUAUUUUCUUGUUAUACAAGGGAGGCGUAUAAAAUAGUUUUCUGAUUUCUUUCAGAAGCAAAUGACUAUUUUAUUUUUUAAGAGCAAUUGAUUGUGAAUCUCAGAGUAUAAAAAAAAAAGAUAAAU